UACGUAGGGUGCGAGCGUAAUCGGAAUUACUGGGCGUAAAGUGUGCGCAGGCGGCCGCGCAAGUCGAGUGUGAAAUCCCCGAGCUUAACUUGGGAAUUGCGCUCGAAACUACGUGGCUGGAGUGUGGCAGAGGAAGGUGGAAUUCCACGUGUAGCGGUGAAAUGCGUAGAUAUGUGGAGGAACACCGAUGGCGAAGGCAGCCUUCUGGGCCAACACUGACGCUCAUGCACGAAAGCGUGGGGAGCAAACAGG
rnacentral:rRNA from 1 species